rnacentral:rRNA from 1 species
UACGGAGGGUGCUAGCGUUGCUCGGAAUGACUGGGCGUAAAGGGCGCGUAGGCGGAUGGCACAGUCAGAUGUGAAAUUCCCGGGCUUAACCUGGGGGCUGCAUUUGAUACGUGUUGUCUUGAGUUCGGAAGAGGGUCGUGGAAUUCCCAGUGUAGAGGUGAAAUUCGUAGAUAUUGGGAAGAACACCGGUGGCGAAGGCGGCGACCUGGUCCGACACUGACGCUGAGGCGCGAAAGCGUGGGGAGCAAACAGG